rnacentral:rRNA from 1 species
AUGCCCUAGUAACGGCGAGUGAAGCGGCAACAGCUCAAAUUUGAAAUCUGGCUUCGGCCCGAGUUGUAAUUUGUAGAGGAAGCUUCUGGUGCGGCACCGGCUGAGUCCCCUGGAACGGGGCGCCAUAGAGGGUGAGAGCCCCGUAUAGCCGGCUGCCUAGCCUGUGUGAAGCUCCUUCGACGAGUCGAGUAGUUUGGGAAUGCUGCUCAAAAUGGGAGGUAAAUUCCUUCUAAAGCUAAAUAUUGGCCAGAGACCGAUAGCGCACAAGUAGAGUGAUCGAAAGAUGAAAAGCACUUUGAAAAGAGGGUUAAACAGCACGUGAAAUUGUUAAAAGGGAAGCGCUUGUGACCAGACUUGCGCCGGGGCGAUCAUCCGGUGUUCUCACCGGUGCACUCGCCCCGGCUCAGGCCAGCAUCGGUUUUCGCGGGGGGAUAAAGGCACCGGGAACGUAGCUCCUUCGGGAGUGUUAUAGCCCGGGGUGUAAUGCCCCCGCGGGGACCGAGGACCGCGCAUCUGCAAGGAUGCUGGCGUAAUGGUCACCAGCGACCCGUCUUGAAACACGGACCAAGGAGUCAAGGUUUUGCGCGAGUGUUUGGGUGUAAAACCCGCACGCGUAAUGAAAGUGAACGUAGGUGAGAGCUUCGGCGCAUCAUCGACCGAUCCUGAUGUAUUCGGAUGGAUUUGAGUAGGAGCGUUAAGCCUUGGACCCGAAAGAUGGUGAACUAUGCUUGGAUAGGGUGAAGCCAGAGGAAACUCUGGUGGAGGCUCGCAGCGGUUCUGACGUGCAAAUCGAUCGUCAAAUCUGAGCAUGGGGGCGAAAGACUAAUCGAACCAUCUAGUAGCUGGUUACCGCCGAAGUUUCCCUCAGGAUAGCAGUGUUGUUCUUCAGUUUUAUGAGGUAAAGCGAAUGAUUAGGGACUCGGGGGCGCUAUUUAGCCUUCAUCCAUUCUCAAACUUUAAAUAUGUAAGAAGCCCUUGUUACUUAAUGAACGUGGGCAUU